rfam:Triticum aestivum genome assembly, contig: Triticum_aestivum_CS42_TGACv1_scaffold_501936_6BL
UAAGUACUCCCUCUGUCCCAAAAUAUUUGUCAUCAAAAUGAAUAAAAAAAUAUCUAAAACUAAAAUACAUCUAAAUACAUCUUUUUUUAUCCAUUUUGAUGACAAGUAUUUUCGGACGGAGGGAGUACUUA